rnacentral:pre_miRNA from 1 species
GCCACCAGGCGCUCCUUGGAAACUCUAUGGGGUAGUUCUGCUCUGUCCUAUAGGGUCUCUAUGAGUUGGAAUCGACUCGAUGGCAAUUUUUUUUUUAAACCCUUUGCUGUCGAGUCAAUUCCAACUCAUAGUAACCCUAUAGGGCAGAGUAGAACUGCCCCAUAGGGUUUCUGAGGAGCAGCUGGUGGA